rnacentral:rRNA from 1 species
GGGUUGUGAGGUUAAGCGACUAAGCGUACACGGUGGAUGCCUAGGCAAUCAGAGGCGAUGAAGGACGUGCUAAUCUGCGAUAAGCGUCGGUAAGGUGAUAUGAACCGUUACAACCGACGAUUUCCGAAUGGGGAAACCCAGUGCAAUUCGUUGCACUAUCGUUUGAUGAAUACAUAGUCAAACGAAGCGAACCGGGGGAACUGAAACAUCUCAGUACCCCGAGGAAAAGAAAUCAACCGAGAUUCCCCUAGUAGCGGCGAGCGAACGGGGAGCAGCCCAGAGUCUUAAUCAGCAUUAGCAUCAGGAGAACGGUCUGGAAAGUCCGGCAGUAAAGGGUGAUAGCCCCGUAUCCGAAGGUGUUAGUGUUGUGAACUCGACGAGUAGGGCGGGACACGUGUUAUCCUGUCUGAAUAUGGGGGGACCAUCCUCCAAGGCUAAAUACUCCUGAUUGACCGAUAGUGAACCAGUACCGUGAGGGAAAGGCGAAAAGAACCCCGGCGAGGGGAGUGAAAUAGAACCUGAAACCGUGUACGUACAAGCAGUGGGAGCCCCAUCACUCAAGUGCCUCGGCAAUUGAGUGAGGGUGUAAAACCAUCACAAUAACAGCGCAGGAUUUGCCAACAAGAUUGGCUGAUUUUUUCAAGCCGCAGCGCAGUGGACAUCGAAGUCCAUGAGCAGCGGAAGUUAAAAAAUCGGGCAAGAUUGGCCGCAAAGCCAAGCGGGACAUUUGAGGAUGGGGUGACUGCGUACCUUUUGUAUAAUGGGUCAGCGACUUAUAUUCUGUAGCAAGGUUAACCGUAUAGGGGAGCCGUAGGGAAACCGAGUCUUAACUGGGCGAAUGAGUUGCAGGGUAUAGACCCGAAACCCGGUGAUCUAGCCAUGGGCAGGUUGAAGGUUGGGUAACACUAACUGGAGGACCGAACCGACUAAUGUUGAAAAAUUAGCGGAUGACUUGUGGCUGGGGGUGAAAGGCCAAUCAAACCGGGAGAUAGCUGGUUCUCCCCGAAAGCUAUUUAGGUAGCGCCUCGUGAACUCAUCUUCGGGGGUAGAGCACUGUUUCGACUAGGGGGUCAUCCCGACUUACCAACUCGAUGCAAACUACGAAUACCGAAGAAUGUUAUCACGGGAGACACACGGCGGGUGCUAACGUUCGUCGUGAAGAGGGAAACAACCCAGACCGCCAGCUAAGGUCCCAAAGUCAUAGUUAAGUGGGAAACGAAGUGGGAAGGCUCAGACAGCCAGGAUGUUGGCUUAGAAGCAGCCAUCAUUUAAAGAAAGCGUAAUAGCUCACUGGUCGAGUCGGCCUGCGCGGAAGAUGUAACGGGGCUAAACUAUGCACCGAAGCUGCGGCAGCGA